rnacentral:rRNA from 1 species
UAUGGGCGGUAUUUUAAGCUUUUCAGAGGAAUUUGCUCUUUAAUGGAUAAAACACCUAAAUCUUACUUAAAUUUGUUAAUUCAAUUUGUAUACCACUAUAAAAACAAUUUAUAACUUUAAUUGUUUAAAUUUAUUAAAUUAAAAUAUAUUAAGUCAAGGUGCAGUAAAAAUUUAAGAAUGAAGUGAAUUACAUUACUCUUUAGAGAAAUAAAUUUAAAAUAAUAUUUAGGAUUUGAAAGUAAAAUUAAAAUAGAAUGUUAAUUUGAAUUAAGCUCUAAAAUAUGUACACAUCG